rnacentral:misc_RNA from 1 species
GGGGAGGGGGAUGCGUAAGGUAGGAGCGGUCACUGGGGUGAAGUGGUACCAAGGUAGCCGUCCCGGAAGGUGUCGCUGGAUCACCUCCUUUUUAGGGAGACCUAAUUCACUCAGAAAUCGAAAGUAACGAAAGUUAUAAAUAGAGGAUGAGAUGGUCUAACCUAGGUCGGUCGAGAUUGGUGAAACAUGAGUUUGAUAUUGGCUCAGGAUGAACGCUGGCGGUAUGCUUAACACAGCAAGUCGAACUCAGCAACUAACAAGAGAGUUAGCGGGUGAGGUAGAACCGAGAAAGAACCUUUAAAUCGGCAACAACCCCUGAAAAAUUAGCAGGCUGCCGCAAGUAUCGAGAAGAAA